rnacentral:rRNA from 1 species
UAAUACAUCGGAACGUGCCCGAUCGUGGGGGAUAACGAAGCGAAAGCUUUGCUAAUACCGCAUAAGAUCUACGGAUGAAAGCAGGGGACCGCAAGGCCUUGCGCGAACGGAGCGGCCGAUGGCAGAUUAGGUAGUUGGUGGGAUAAAAGCUUACCAAGCCGACGAUCUGUAGCUGGUCUGAGAGGACGACCAGCCACACUGGGACUGAGACACGGCCCAGACUCCUACGGGAGGCAGCAGUGGGGAAUUUUGGACAAUGGGCGAAAGCCUGAUCCAGCCAUGCCGCGUGCAGGAUGAAGGCCUUCGGGUUGUAAACUGCUUUUGUACGGAACGAAAAGACUCUGGUUAAUACCUGGGGUCCAUGACGGUACCGUAAGAAUAAGCACCGGCUAACUACGUGCCAGCAGCCGCGGUAAUACGUAGGGUGCAAGCGUUAAUCGGAAUUACUGGGCGUAAAGCGUGCGCAGGCGGUUAUAUAAGACAGAUGUGAAAUCCCCGGGCUCAACCUGGGAACUGCAUUUGUGACUGUAUAGCUAGAGUACGGCAGAGGGGGAUGGAAUUCCGCGUGUAGCAGUGAAAUGCGUAGAUAUGCGGAGGAACACCGAUGGCGAAGGCAAUCCCCUGGGCCUGUACUGACGCUCAUGCACGAAAGCGCGGGGAGCAAACAGGAUUAGAUACCCUGGUAGUCCACGCCCUAAACGAUGUCAACUGGUUGU